rnacentral:tRNA from 1 species
CGGGGUACAGCUCAGUGGUAGAGCAUGUGCUUAGCAUGCAUGAGGUCCUGGGUUCAACCUGCAGUACCUCCA